AGGCAGCCAAGAACCGCAUCCAGCACCCUAGCAACGUGCUACACUUCUUCAAUGCCCCUCUGGAGGUGACUGAGGAGAACUUCUUCGAGAUCUGCGACGAGCUGGGAGUGAAACGGCCAUCUUCUGUGAAAGUAUUCUCAGGCAAAAGUGAACGCAGCUCCUCUGGGCUGCUGGAGUGGGAAUCCAAGAGCGAUGCCCUGGAGACUUUGGGCUUCCUGAAUCAUUACCAGAUGAAA